UGGAGAAGUUUUCAUGUGGCUGAUCUUUACUCUCACGUUCACAUUAGCUAAGGUAUUUUGAAAGAGAAACAAACGCCAAAGGUCGCUUUGGAGGCUGGACAGAUCUCGAAAGUUCUCUGAUGCAAUCGGAUGAUUGCCACGAAACAAGAUAGAAGAAGCUUCAUCCCGAUCACAGCCGUAGCAAAGAAUGUGCAUAUAAAGAAGGAAAGCUUCCAUAGACGAAUGUAACCCAGUUUGACGACUGCGCCGCUAAAUCGUGAGGGAGAAAUUCUUCGCGGAGAGAGUGUACAAGAAACUGAGGAAUACGGGAUACAAAAACCAAAGAACUUGUAGGAUUCGUUCUUUGACAAAGCUUUUGCUAUUUUCCUGAUUUUUACUUAGAUUGGGAUCUCUAUCCAGACAUCAGUCACUAAUGAGUUCCUAACUUGGUUACCAAGGCCCUUACUUUUGUCUGAUGGAAUUCUGAUUCGCGAAUGUAGAAAGACAUAACAGUUCCAUAUGAGCAUAGAAUUCAUAUUUUAAGUGAGAGAUUUAAGAACAGGAUUUGGUAGAAACAUCGGCUAUGUAGGAUUGGUAGGUCACAGCUCUUUCGCUGAUCGCCUAGGUUUCUAAGCGAGUAUCACAACUCAGAGAAACUUCUAAAUAGUUGAUCCCACUCUUGGCGCUGUUCUUCAUCUUGAAAACUGGGUGUGUCUCAAC